ACAGGCAAGCAUUUCCCCUAUACUCCUGCCCCUGCAGGAGUCGCUCACCUAUUUUAUUUUGCCUUCUCCCUCAUGCUAUCUUUAAGUUGCGUUCUUGUCACGUGUCCUUUCCACUUGUUACCUCAAGCAGCUCAUAUUGCCACCACCACCUCCUACAGCUAUUGUUUGGUUAUCGGGUCUGCCUUGCGAGUCGUAGUGCAUGCUAGUGCUGUUUUAUCUUGUUACCGUUACUGCUAUCUUAUCGGGUUAUAUGUUGGGAAGAAUCAUGGUUACUUUAGUUGUUGUCAUUUGUUUAGCGGAGGCAUCGGUGGGUCAGCUGAUCGUUUUGUGACGGCUCACUUGUGUUUCCUAAAUAUCUUAGGACCCCGAGUUCUUGUUAUCUGUUCCGAGACUGAGCGCUCUAACCACACGUGAGUAUGCUUACCGGGUCUCCCCUCGACCACUGCCGGAAUCUACAGCUUUGUCCAGUGGCCACAAUUAGUUUGAAUGUUUGUUUGUUUCUCUCGGGCGUGCAAGCUUGUUUCUUUGUGGUCGGAUGAUAUGAUGUUACUUUUGCGGAAGCUAUGUGCCUUGUAACCCCGUUGUCUCGUGCACGCUCGUAGGAUGUGGUGCCACUGCGAAGUGGUCAUCCCGCUGGGCACUGUCCACCUAGCACGCAGUCGCAAUAGGUGAGUCCGCUUCGGAGCACGGCCGGACUUCGACACGGGUUAACUUAGUUAGGUGGCUUCCUGGACAUUGUUAUAGUGAAGGAGAGUGCGUGUCGUGAUAUCCACCUGUCGCAAGUGGGUUGAGCGUGCGUGUGGGCACAUUUGGGCACCCCUGCAGGGUUACAAUCUUAUCGAUAAGCCGUGUCCGCGGUUAUGGAUGACUUGGAGCUGUAUGACUCGACCAUAGACAACUUACACCUGUUGUUUCAAUGCUAAUAACUUGCUAGUAAGAUAGAACAAAUUAAAUAGUAACUGGUUAAAACUUGUCAACAGUGUGAGUGCCUUUGCCCGUACUUCUUUGCGAAGGGGGAACACAUCGGCUGUGUUAUGUUUGCAGAGUAUAGAACUGUUAGUUUAUGCGCUCUCUCAUCUUCUCUAAUUAGACGAAUGUUGUAGAGUGUCUCUAUAGGUUUUUAGUGCUUGCGCGCUGCCGCUUAACCCCACCAUAUUGCCUAUGACGUUCCUCUUGCGUCCUCUAAGUCCCCUGCGUGCCUCAAGUACAAAGGACGACUGGUUGACGAAUGCUUAUACGUCUUGAAGUCUUGUUAAGUACGAACCCGUACUUAUUGCUGCUUCUACGGGACAUAACCGGGCAGGUAUGAAGAUAUGUUCGAUGAAGACGACGCUAGCAAGGUUACCCUUCCGGCUUGGCCUGGGCAGGGUUAUGGAUGCCGCUGGUUAUCUUCAGGACUCUUAGUCCAAUUUGUAUCUUGUCCGUACUCGGACGUAUUCGAUCUUCUGUAUGAUUCGGAUCUUGUAUAUUUGUAUCUUGACUCGUUGGAGUCGUUGUUGUAAUAUAUGUAUCUUGUGGGCUC